CAGCCCCCCGAGUGGUGGGGAUGAUUAUUUGGCCUAAAGCGUCCGUAGCCGGCUUUGUAAAUCUCUCGUUAAAUCCAGCGUCCUAAGCGUUGGGCUGCGAGAGACACUGCAGAGCUAGAGGGUGGGAGAGGUCAGCGGUAUUCCUGGGGUAGGGGCGAAAUCCAUUGAUCCCAGGAGGACCACCAGUGGCGAAGGCUGCUGUCCAGAACACGCCUGACGGUCAGGGACGAAAGCUGGGGUAGCGAAUCGGAUUAGAGACCCGAGUAGUCC
rnacentral:rRNA from 1 species